rnacentral:rRNA from 1 species
GGGAAGAGCUCAAAUUUGAAAUCUGGUGGCCUCAGGUCAUCCGAGUUGUAAUCUAUAGAAGUGUUUUCCGUGCUGGCUCAUGUACAAGUCCCUUGGAACAGGGCGUCAUAGAGGGUGAGAAUCCCGUCCUUGACAUGAACUACCAGUGCUCUGUGAUACAUUUUCAACGAGUCGAGUUGUUUGGGAAUGCAGCUCAAAAUGGGUGGUAAAUUCCAUCUAAAGCUAAAUAUUGGCGAGAGACCGAUAGCGAACAAGUACCGUGAGGGAAAGAUGAAAAGCACUUUGGAAAGAGAGUUAAACAGUAUGUGAAAUUGUUGAAAGGGAAACGAUUGAAGUCAGUCGUGCUCUUUGGAUUCAGCCGGUUCUGCCGGUGUACUUCCUUUGAGUGGGGUCAACAUCAGUUUUGAUCGCUGGAUAAAGGCGGGAGGAAUGUAGUACCCUCGGGUAAACUUAUAGCCUCUUGUCACAUACAGUGGUUGGGACUGAGGAACGCAGCAUGCCUUUAUGGCCGGGAUUCGUCCACGUACAUGCUUAGGAUGUUGACAUAAUGGCUUUAAACGACCCGUCUUGAA